rnacentral:tRNA from 1 species
UCCCUGAUAGCUCAGUUGGUAAAGAAUCUGCCUGCGAUGCAGGAGACCCUGGUUUGAUUCCUGGGUUGGGAA